ensembl:lncRNA
CUCAAAUGUUACAUGCGCCCAUUGUGCGGGAUCACACACCUUUUCUGUUGAUGCAGUGGGUAAUUUGAUUUUAUUGGUUUGGUACUCAUCUUAGAGAUCGCCUUUUUAUCUUUUUGGUUAAUUUAGAUCAAAUUUCUGAGAAGAUUAAGAAUUGCAUGAAGGAAAAUGUAGAACUUGCAGAAACAAUAUGCAUUUUUGAACAGAAGGUACAAUCACCCCCCCAUUUUUUUUUCAUUUUUAUGGUUUCACGUGGAAUGAUGUCCACUUCCAGGUCACUGAUUUUGCCAUCUCCUCUUUCAUCCUAGUGCCCCUUUCAUUCCAUUCUAUACCAGGCUGAAUUUAAAGCAAGCAUCACAUAUGUAAAGUGUUGCUUCCUUUAUUUCCAUAAGGACUUACCCACGGGAGAUCGGUUUUGCUGUCACCAUAAUUAAUUUUUUGAAUUCUGAAUCCUCUAUUAUAUAUUUGUGUAGAUCAAUGAAGCAAAGAAAUGUACUCAAGAAACCAUGUGGCCAAAGAAGCUUCCCUCUUAUGGAGCCCAUAGACUUAAGGUAAAAAAAAAAAAAAAAAAAAAAAUCCUUUCUUUGUCCUGGAUUACACUCUCAAAACAGAGGUAAAAGUAAUGAGUAUGUAUUCCUGAUGUCUGUAUGUUCUGUUGAAGAAUGACCUGGACACACUUGAGAGCGCUAAUGCAAUCCUUAGUGACAUCACUCAAAGUGUGCAUGCUCAGUUGUAAUGUGAGAGAGAUCAGAAUGUCAUAGUCUCAUGACUGCCAUAUGUCUAUCAUUGUUAAACUCUAGAUAUUGGGUAGGAAAUAUCUGGAGAAAAACUGAGGUGCACCCUGAUGGUAUCUUGCUGCAGACAAGAUGGGAGUUAAUGGCUGGCAGGUGACUGGGGGGUGCCAGCAGUCGCAAAUCCUGUGAACUCAGUUUUCCUUCCUUUCCUUCUUUUCUUUUCUCUUCUCUUCCCCUCCCCCUCCCUUCCCUUUCCCUUUCCUUCCUUCCUCCCCACCUCCCAGCUAAAAUCCUUUUCCAGGAGACAAUAUCCUGACAGUGGAGCAAUUCAGAUCAUUGUUUUUGUUGUUCAGCAUGGUUUGCAUUCUUCUCAACUAGUGUCUUUGAGGUGCCAGAACCGGAUGAACUGUCUACCCUCCUCUGGCCGGCCGUCUAGCUCACACAGGAGCACCCGUGGAUCUAACAAUCAUCUCACUACAUCUAACAGGUGUGUCCUCAAUUCUAGGCACUAUUAAUUUUAUUACUACUAUUAUUAAUAUACCACUCCCCCCCUGCAAUCCCAAUACCUAACCCCCUUAUUCACAGGAUUCAUCCCAAUGACAGCAGUUUUGCUGCUCCUAUCACUACCAUAUUGGCACCUGGAAUUGCUAUACUAUUAACAGAUUGAAACCUUAAUACUACAUGCUUUGUCGCAGCCAGAGGAGGGGACCCCAGUGUUUAUCAGCAUCUAUUCUGAUUCUUUGGACACCACGAAGUAGGUGUCCUCAUUUUACAAGGUUUCAGGAUAAUCUCACCUACUAUUCAUGCAAAAAAGAGCCCUUCAGGUACGUGGGAAUAGUCUGAGCAAUAAUAUCUAUUGGUUUCUUUGGCUUUAUCAUAUGGCCCACCAUAUGUUUACUGUAGGGAUAGACGGUGAAACACGAGCAUACUUUACAUCAGCUACUGUAAUUAUUACUAUACCAACAGGAGUCAAUGUAUUCAGCUGACUUGCCACCCUUCAUGGAUGAAAUACCAAGUUAUCUCUUGAUAUCUUAUGAGCCCUAGGCUUUCUUUUCCGAUUUACUAUAGGAGCCCUAACAGGCAUUGCAUGAGCUAACUCAUCCCUAGACAUUGUCCUCCACGACACAUAUUAUUGUAGUAGCACAUUUUCAAUAUGUUCUACCAAUAGGACUGCUAUUUGCUAUCAUGGGCAGGUUCGUUCACGGAUUCCCUUUAUUCUCAGACUAUACUCUUAAUAGCACCUGAGCAAAAAUUCACUUCAUGAUCAUGUUUGUUGGCAUCAACAGAACAUUCUUUCCUCAACAUUUUCUUGGCCAUUCCGGAAAGCCUUAAUGCUAUUCUGAUUACCCAGAUGCAUACACAACAUUAAAUAUGGUCUCCCCUGUGGGCUCAUUUAGUUCAUUAACAGUGGUAAUAUUAAUGAUCUUUAUAGUUUGAGAUGCCUUCACAUCCAAACGAGAAAUAGCAAGAGUAGAACUUACUACAACAAAUAUUGAAAGACUACAUGGAAGUCCUCCUUUCAAGAGGCCAAUCUUAGUGCCGGCAAUAUGUCCUGAAGUAUAAAAUGCUGUGAACUGUCACAUACUCACAGUGUUAUCUCCAUGCAACAGAUUUAAGAUGGAAAACUAUCAACUGCAUGGAGUCAACCGACUUUAACAAGACUGAGUUCACUGAAAUGAAAGCAGCAAAGGAGGAUGCUUAGAAAGGCUGGUUUGCUGUGUUGCCCUCAGACUCUUUUGUUCAUGGUGUUGAUUUAAAGGGUUUCAACAGGACACCUGAUUUACUCAAGAACACAUGCAAAAAGACUCUUAGAAACUGAGUCAAAAGCUCUAGACAGAGAAAGACACAUGCAUUUGCUUCUGGUCUCUCAGGCAAUCCUUCAGCAAAUGCCUUCUGGAGCGGCUGUGAUGGAGUGGCUCAGGUGGAAGGUGUAGAAGACGGAAAGGUGGUCAGGACACUGUACCCACCCCCAAAAGAACUUACCAAUGAACAGAACCAAGAUGCCAAUGACACAGAGCAGCCCCCACCCCCGGUGUGGGAUGGAAUAACACAAAGCUGAGUCUCCAGGGAAGACAGGGACAGUUUUACUUUUCCACGUGAAUGAGGGACUCUAAGGUCCUGAUCUCCUCCUGAGAAAAUAAAGGAAACACUGGACAAAAGAGCCAACUCGUAUGAGUGAAUGCACCCAAUUUCUAAGGAGCACAUGAAGAAACAUGAGAACCACAUGGAGAAGAAGGAAGCUUAGGAGAAAGGCAGCCUGGCAGUGGGAGCCAAUCUCCCCAGGACACAUCAAUACAUUCUGGAAGACGCAAGUGAACUAUAAAGAAGCUGAACAACUUUAUGGGCAUGGGCUUAGAAGGAAACAAGUGAAGUUCAGGGUCACCCAGCAAAGGUGAGCCCUAGUGAAACCGCGGGCUUUGGCUGGGACCCAAGAGAGUUACACCUAAAAUGUCAGGUGGAGGGGAAAUACCCUGGCCUUCUUAGGGACUGGGCUACAGUGAGGGAUGUCAGUUGUACACUGAAUGAAGGGAUCCGGGACUGCUGAAGCCCCAACCCACUUUCCACAAAGAAACUCCCAGUGUUUCUGCAGCAAGACAAUUCCAUUUUUCUAUCCACAUUAUUGACCCAAGACCCGUACUGAACCAAAAGUGACUGAAUUCAGGGCUGAUGAGAACAUAUGAUG